UUGUUAGCUCAGUUGGUAGAGCAGCUGACUCUUAAUCAGCGGGUCGAGGGUUCGAACCCCCCAC
rnacentral:tRNA from 1 species